UGAAAUACAAACUGCAGAAAAUACUAGACAUUAUUUCUUCUCCUAGCUGGAUCUGGCCAGAGAAUUUCAUCAACACCACAGGCAAUAUCCUCAUUGGCAAGACAACGUGGGAAGAACCAUCUUGAAUGUCGAAUCCAUCCUUGCACAGCUGCGGCGUCGACUUGGUCACAGGCGUCCUCCAUGGCCAUGACUGAGGGGUACCUGAGUCUGGGGCCAGAGAUCGUG